rfam:Opisthorchis viverrini opera_v5_3.152, whole genome shotgun sequence.
CGUGCGUUGGUGUAGUGGUUACACGCUCGCCUCGCAUGUCAGAUGUCCGGGGUUCAAACCUCGGCACGG